rnacentral:rRNA from 1 species
AUACGUAGGGGGCGAGCGUUGUCCGGAAUGAUUGGGCGUAAAGGGCGCGUAGGCGGCGCGGUAAGUCUGGAGUGAAAGUCCUGCUUUCAAGGUGGGAAUUGCUUUGGAUACUGCCGCGCUUGAGUGCUGGAGAGGUUAUCGGAAUUCCCGGUGUAGCGGUGAAAUGCGUAGAGAUCGGGAGGAACACCAGUGGCGAAGGCGGGUAACUGGACUGCAACUGACGCUGAGGCGCGAAAGUGUGGGGAGCAAACAGGAUUAGAUACCCUGGUAGUCCACACUGUAAACGAUGAAUGCUAGGUGUAAGAGGUAUCGACCCCUUUUGUGCCGGAGUCAACACAAUAAGCAUUCCGCCUGGGGAGUACGGCCGCAAGGUUGAAACUCAAAUGAAUUGACGGGG